AGAGUUUGAUCCUGGCUCAGAAUCAACGCUGGCGGCGCGCUUAACACAUGCAAGUCGAACGAGAAAGUGGAGCAAUCCAUGAGUACAGUGGCGUACGGGUGAGUAACACGUGGGUAAUCUACCUUUUAGUGGGGAAUAACCCUGGGAAACCGGGGCUAAUACCGCAUAAUCUCGAGAGAGGAAAGUCGCAAGACGCUGAAAGAGGAGCCCGCGGCCGAUUAGCUAGUUGGCAGGGUAAGAGCCUACCAAGGCAGAGAUCGGUAGCCGGCCUGAGAGGGCACACGGCCACACUGGCACUGAAACACGGGCCAGACUCCUACGGGAGGCAGCAGUGGGGAAUCUUGCACAAUGGGGGCAACCCUGAUGCAGCGACGCCGCGUGAGCGAUGAAGCCCUUCGGGGUGUAAAGCUCUUUCGUCAGGGAAGAUAAUGACGGUACCUGGAGAAGCAGCUGCGGCUAACUACGUGCCAGCAGCCGCGGUAAUACGUAGGCAGCGAGCGUUGUUCGGAGUUACUGGGCGUAAAGGGUGUGUAGGCGGUUGUUUAAGUUUGGUGUGAAAUCUCCCGGCUCAACUGGGAGGGUGCGCCGAAUACUGAAUGACUAGAGUGCGGGAGAGGAAAGUGGAAUUCCUGGUGUAGCGGUGAAAUGCGUAGAUAUCAGGAGGAACACCGGUGGUGUAGACGGCUUUCUGGACCGUAACUGACGCUGAGACACGAAAGCGUGGGUAGCAAACAGGAUUAGAUACCCUAGUAGUCC
rnacentral:rRNA from 1 species